AUUGAACGCUGGCGGCAUGCUUUACACAUGCAAGUCGAACGGUAACAGGCCGCAAGGUGCUGACGAGUGGCGCACGGGGGAGUAAUGCAUCGGAACGUGCCCAGUCGUGGGGGAUAACUACUCGAAAGAGUAGCUAAUACCGCAUACGAUCUAUGGAUGAAAGCGGGGGACCGCAAGGCCUCGCGCGAUUUGAGCGGCCGAUGUCAGAUUAGGUAGUUGGUGGGGUAAAGGCUCCCCAAGCCAACGAUCUGUAGCUGGUCUGAGAGGACAACCAGCCACACUGGGACUGAGACACGGCCCAGACUCCUACGGGAGGCGGCAGUGGGGAAUUUUGGACAAUGGGCGCAAGCCUGAUCCAGCAAUGCCGCGUGCAGGAAGAAGGCCUUCGGGUUGUAAACUGCUUUUGUACGGAACGAAACGGCUCUGGUUAAUACCCGGGGCUAAUGACGGUACCGUAAGAAUAAGCACCGGCUAACUACGUG
rnacentral:rRNA from 1 species